GUGAGUAACGCGUGGGAACGUACCUUUUGGUUCGGAACAACACAGGGAAACUUGUGCUAAUACCGGAUAAGCCCUUACGGGGAAAGAUUUAUCGCCGAAAGAUCGGCCCGCGUCUGAUUAGCUAGUUGGUGAGGUAACGGCUCACCAAGGCGACGAUCAGUAGCUGGUCUGAGAGGAUGAUCAGCCACAUUGGGACUGAGACACGGCCCAAACUCCUACGGGAGGCAGCAGUGGGGAAUAUUGGACAAUGGGCGCAAGCCUGAUCCAGCCAUGCCGCGUGAGUGAUGAAGGCCCUAGGGUUGUAAAGCUCUUUUGUGCGGGAAGAUAAUGACGGUACCGCAAGAAUAAGCCCCGGCUAACUUCGUGCCAGCAGCCGCGGUAAUACGAAGGGGGCUAGCGUUGCUCGGAAUCACUGGGCGUAAAGGGUGCGUAGGCGGGUCUUUAAGUCAGGGGUGAAAUCCUGGAGCUCAACUCCAGAACUGCCUUUGAUACUGAGGAUCUUGAGUUCGGGAGAGGUGAGUGGAACUGCGAGUGUAGAGGUGAAAUUCGUAGAUAUUCGCAAGAACACCAGUGGCGAAGGCGGCUCACUGGCCCGAUACUGACGCUGAGGCACGAAAGCGUGGGGAGCAAACAGGAUUAGAUACCCUGGUAGUCCACGCCCUAAAC
rnacentral:rRNA from 1 species